rnacentral:lncRNA from 1 species
AUUACCAUUACACGUUCAUAUAUACAUCACCUUUAUUAAUUGGAAAUCAAACUAUUAUUUUCAAUUCCAUAUGGUAUCAGAGCUACCACACUCCUGAUAUGUUCCUUUUAUUCUCCUUUUUCUCUCUCUCAAUUCCCUACAUUCUUUAUCAACAAUAAUGGCUUUUGAAGACAUCUCUACAUCUUUCACUAGUCAUAGCAUCAUUCAAAAUACUAAAUCAUCAUUGGCUCCAUUGGUAACAUGUCUUGUUUCUCCAUGGCUACCUAAUAAUGGAG